rnacentral:rRNA from 1 species
GACAGAGGCCACGAACGUUGUUCGGAAUUACUGGGCAUAAAGCGCACGUAGGCGGCUAGGUCCGUCCGAUGUGAAAGCCCCCGGCUCAACCGGGGAAUUGCAUCGGAUACAGCCUGGCUUGAGGACGGUUGGGGUGAGUGGAACUCCUGGUGGAGCGGUGAAAUGCGUAGAUAUCAGGAGGAACACCGGUGGCGAAAGCGGCUCACUGGACCGUAACUGACGCUGAGGUGCGAAAGCUAGGGGAGCAAACGGG